UACGUAGGGUGCAAGCGUUAUCCGGAUUCACUGGGUUUAAAGGGUGCGUAGGUGGGCAGUUAAGUCAGUGGUGAAAUCUCCGGGCUUAACCCGGAAACUGCCAUUGAUACUAUCUGUCUUGAAUAUCGUGGAGGUAAGCGGAAUAUGUCAUGUAGCGGUGAAAUGCUUAGAUAUGACAUAGAACACCAAUUGCGAAGGCAGCUUACUACCCGAAUAUUGACACUGAGGCACGAAAGCGUGGGGAUCAAACAGG
rnacentral:rRNA from 1 species